AGCUUGGUGGUUAUAGCAUGAGUGAAACACACGAUCCCAUCCCGAACUCGAAUGUGAAACCUCAUAGCGCUAAUGGUACUAUGUCAUAAG
rnacentral:rRNA from 1 species